rnacentral:rRNA from 1 species
GUGAGGAAUAUUGGUCAAUGGGCGAGAGCCUGAACCAGCCAUGCCGCGUGCAGGAAGAAUGCCCUAUGGGUUGUAAACUGCUUUUAUUUGGGAAUAAACCUUUCUACGUGUAGAAAGCUGAAGGUACUAAAUGAAUAAGCACCGGCUAACUCCGUGCCAGCAGCCGCGGUAAUACGGAGGGUGCAAGCGUUAUCCGGAAUCAUUGGGUUUAAAGUGUCCGCAGGCGGAUUAAUAAGUCAGUGGUGAAAUCUCAUAGCUUAACUAUGACACUGCCAUUGAUACUGAUAGGCUUGAAUAUGGUCGGUGUGGGCGGAAUAUGACAUGUAGCGGUGAAAUGCUUAGAUAUGUUAUAGCACACCGAUAGCGAAGGCAGCUCACAAGGCCAUUAUUGACGCUCAUGGACGAAAGCGUGGGGAGCAAACAGGAUUAGAAACCCGAGUAGUCC